UACGUGGGGAGCAAGCGUUGUUCGGAUUUACUGGGCGUAAAGGGCGCGUAGGCGGUAGCACAAGUCAUUGUGAAAUCUCCGGGCUUAACUCGGAAAGGUCAACUGAUACUGUGCGACUAGAGUGCAGAAGGGGCAACUGGAAUUCUCGGUGUAGCGGUGAAAUGCGUAGAUAUCGAGAGGAACACCUGCGGCGAAGGCGGGUGCUGGGCUGACACUGACGCUGAGGCGCGAAGCCAGGGGAGCGAACGGG
rnacentral:rRNA from 1 species